rnacentral:rRNA from 1 species
GAUCCUGGCUCAGGACGAACGCUGGCGGCGUGCUUAACACAUGCAAGUCGAACGAAGAGCGAUGGAAGCUUGCUUCUAUCAAUCUUAGUGGCGAACGGGUGAGUAACGCGUAAUCAACCUGCCCUUCAGAGGGGGACGAACAGUUGGAAACGACUGCUAAUACCGCAUACGAUCUAACCUCGGCAUCGAGGAUGGAUGAAAGGUGGCCUCUAUUUAUAAGCUAUCACUGAAGGAGGGGA